GGGGGGUGCAAGCGUUAUUCGGAAUCACUGGGCGUAAAGAGCGCGUAGGCGGUCUCUUAAGUCAGAUGUGAAAGCCCGGGGCUUAACCCCGGAAGUGCAUUUGAAACGGAGGGACUUGAGUAUGGGAGAGGGAAGUGGAAUUCCUGGUGUAGCGGUGAAAUGCGUAGAUAUCAGGAGGAACACCGGUGGCGAUGGCGACUUCCUGGACCAAUACUGACGCUGAGGCGCGAAGGCGUGGGGAGCAAACAGGAUUAGAUACCCUGGUAGUCCACGCAGUAAACGUUGAACACUAGGUGUAGCGGGUAUUGACCCCCCUGCUGUGCCCGCAGCUAACGCAUUAAGUGUUCCGCCUGGGAAGUACGGCCGCAAGGCUA
rnacentral:rRNA from 1 species